rnacentral:rRNA from 1 species
GUAGUCAUAUGCUUGUCUCAAAGAUUAAGCCAUGCAUGUCUAAGUAUAAACAAUUUAUACGGUGAAACUGCGAAUGGCUCAUUAAAUCAGUUAUCGUUUAUUUGAUAGUACCUUACUACAUGGAUACCUGUGGUAAUUCUAGAGCUAAUACAUGCUAAAAACCUCGACUUCGGAAGGGGUGUAUUUAUUAGAUAAAAAACCAAUGCCCUUCGGGGCUCCUUGGUGAAUCAUAAUAACUUAACGAAUCGCAUGGCCUUGCGCCGGCGAUGGUUCAUUCAAAUUUCUGCCCUAUCAACUUCCGAUGGUAGGAUAGUGGCCUACCAUGGUGGCAACGGGUAACGGGGAAUGA